GAACAGAGGGAAGCGAGCCGGCGACGGUAAGCGAAUCCCAAAAAUAACGUCCCAGUUCGGAUUGCAGUCUGCAACUCGACUGCAUGAAGCUGGAAUCGCUAGUAAUCGCGGAUCAGAAUGCCGCGGUGAAUACGUUCCCGGGUCUUGUACACACCGCCCGUCACACCAUGGGAGUCGGAAACGCCCGAAGCCAGCGGCCCAACCGCAAGGGGGGAGCUGUCGAAGGCGGGUCCGGUGACCGGGGUGAAGUCGUAACAAGGUACC
rnacentral:rRNA from 1 species